rnacentral:rRNA from 1 species
UACGUAUGGUGCAAGCGUUAUCCGGAUUUACUGGGUGUAAAGGGAGCGUAGGCGGCCGUGCAAGUCAGGUGUGAAAUCCCGGGGCUCAACCCCGGUACUGCACUUGAAACUGCGUGGCUGGAGUACAGGAGAGGCAGGCGGAAUUCCUAGUGUAGCGGUGAAAUGCGUAGAUAUUAGGAAGAACACCGGUGGCGAAGGCGGCCUGCUGGACUGGAUACUGACGCUGAGGCUCGAAAGCGUGGGGAGCAAA